AUGGAUCCAAUCAAACCCACGGACACCCAAAUGAGCAAGAUCGGCGUCCAGCACGAGGCCGCUGACGGCGGAGAUGCGGCGAGCGGGACUAUCGGCGCCCUCCCUAUCCACCUCAUUGAGAAGAUCCUCGGCGGCUUCAGCCCGCUGGAUACGGUGCGCUUCGCCGCCGUCUGCAAGUCCUGGGCGGCGGCCGUCUCCGAGCGGCUAGCGAGACCCACCCCGCACCUCUUCGCGCUCAAGCUCGGCCGGUCCCCGUUCUGGUUCCAGCCGCCGCCCGAGGAGGAGCGCCGCCACCGCGGGGCCAUCUACCCCCUGCCGGUCGACCAGGAGGGCUCGCCGUCGCCGGUGGCCCCUGCCCGCUUGCCCUCCGUGGUCCGCGACCCAAAAGGCAUGAACUUUAAGUUAUCCGGCGCCCUGCCCUGCGGCCUCCUCUCCUUCGCGGUCGGCAAUCGCGUUGUCCUCGUCAACCCCAUCACCGGCGCGUUCCGGAGCGACGUGUAUGCGCCCUUUGGGACUGGAGCCAAGGUGAGGGCCGUCGCCGGCGCCAACGCGAUCUUCGACCACGACUACGCUGAGAGGAGCGUCUCGCUCUGCUGGUGCACGGAGGAGUGGUCCGAGCGGAAGCUGCUCUCUGAAGAGUUCAAGAACAUUUAUCUCAUGGCCUACGCAGACGGCAUCUUCUACGCGCUGGAAUUCCGGGGUUGCGCCUACACGGCGGACACACGCCUGCCGCCGCCGUGGCGCCUGAAGAAGCUUCGUGCGCCAAGCAUUCUCGAGCAGUACACCCCGAUCCGCGGGCGCUUGCUCUGCUACUCCCACCUGCUCGAGUCAGAAGGGUCGGUCCUGUUUGUCGGUCCGGUGCUCGCACCGCGACAACCCACAUGCCGUGAUACCAUCGGUGGCUUCGAGGUGUACAGGCUGGAUGUCGAGGCGGCGCGAUGGGUGAAAGUGGAGAGGCUUGCUGCUGACAGGGCGCUUUUCGUGAGUGAGCAAUCAUCGUUCACGGUGCGCGCCACAGAGAUUCCGGGGUGCAUGAGCAACUGCAUCUAUUUUGUGGGUGAGGUUGACGACCGCUCCUGGGUCACCUGCGGCGUCUACUCCAUGGAGGAGCGGAAGGUGCUGUUUCAGCGCCCUGUCGGUGGUCCUUGGGGAAAGUAUGAUGCUGCACGCUGGUUCCUCCCUGGUGUUGUGAUACCAUUUGCAGAUGCACGUGCGCAUUGUACACUCGGGAGAAAGGACAAAAAUCCAAGUUCUUCAGAAGGACAGGAGGAUGGGAGCAAUUGUGCGAAAUCAAGAUACUUCUAUAAAUCCUUUGGCUCUGAUUAA
rnacentral:rRNA from 1 species